CUUGGACAACAUGUCAGCUCCCAGUGAUGGACUUGGCAGACAAAGUUUACAGCGAAGUUUGCAACUUUAAUAAUCUAGGAGGAGUAUUUGGGCUAUCCCAUCAUUAUGCAUCUUCAUAUUACAAACUAUUUAAGAUAUCUGAAUGCACUAAAGACCAAAUUAGCAUUUCCCAAAAGAAUAGUUACUGCCAAUGCAAGAAUCUGCCAAUCCUGACAAUAAAUUACCAGACAAUAAUCAUAACUUAGUGAAUAAACAUGAUGAAAACUAUGGUGUAGAAUUUCCAACAGGAGUCCUUGUUUUAUUUAAGACGAGGAGUGGUUUAUUUUCCUAUGGUUGUUAUAUCAUCUCGUCUUAGACAUGUUAGAAUAUGCUUGAAGUACAGGGACUUUCAUGGAAUUCAUUGACAUCAUAGUCAAGCAAGAUGUCAACAUCUCGUCCAAUGUUUUCCAGCAAAGCCAAUUUGAAAGCUGACCAAGGAUCUUCAUCAUUUCGUGACAGGGUGUAUACAGGAUGAGUCAUUCCACUAGGAUCAGGACUAUUGUCAUGAUAAUAGAUGCAGGCAAUGCUGAUGAUUUUUGUGAAUGUGACAAUACAUAGCCAGGUCAAACUAAAUACAUGUAAAGAACAAGAUACUGAUCUAGACUCACAGCUAACUGAACUUUUACAGCAGUCAACAUCAGAUUGGAAGACUGAUAAUGCCUCUGACAGAAACAAUUUCAACCAACCAAACAAGUAACAGAAACUUUGCAUCUUUAAACCACUACUUACAUCUUCCAUGGGAUGAUGUUCCACAAAAUAACAGUUCAUCAUUUAAAUGAAGAUUUUUAUGUUAUGGAUUUUCUUUUACAAGAAAGUUAAUGUACACUUGUUUUUAUAGUAAAACCUUGCUGUUCAAGUAUCAAAAAAACAUUUAACUUUAUUGAAAUUUGAAGAUUCAUAUGACUUGCUUUAAUUUUGUUAUUUCUCAGGAUGUCAUGUAGAGGUACAGUUAUGACAGUAAUCUAAACAGCUAUUCAAUUUCAUUCAAAAUUCUUUGAAAAUUUGGCACUAGUAAAUAUAAACUGAAGUAAUUUGUUUUUCGUUUAGUUAUGGGAUUUUUAUGGCCAGUUACAAAGUAGUUGGUGCCUUAAGUUUUACCCUUGUACUAAAAUUCAGAUUUUCCGUAAUUCCAUAAUUCAGUCAUUCCGAAACAAACCAUUAUACAGUGUUUUUUUCUAAACGUCAUAGAUAUUAGCCUGAUUUUUGGUAUGUAAGUUGACUAUGAUGAGUUACAGAUCAAGUAUAAGUUUUGUUCCACUCCCCUAAUUUCUGUUGAAAUUACCCGCUAUGGACUUUGAUAAAUUGUUGAAAAUCACAGUUAUAUGCACUUUUUUCCUAAACGCUUUCAGAUAUUGGGCUAAUUUUUGGUAUGUGAGUUACAGAUCAAGUUUAAGUUUCAUCAUGCUACCCUAAUAUUUGCUGUAAUUUCGGGCUUUGGACUUUGAAAAAUUUUGGAAAAUCAAAAUAUAGGGACCUUUCCUCUAUUAAAAUGCUUUCAGAUAUUGGGCUGAUUUUUGGUAUGU